CCAUGCCGCGUGUGUGAAGAAGGCCUUCGGGUUGUAAAGCACUUUCAGUCGUGAGGAAGGUGGUGUAGUUAAUAGCUGCAUUACUUGACGUUAGCGACAGAAGAAGCACCGGCUAACUCCGUGCCAGCAGCCGCGGUAAUACGGAGGGUGCGAGCGUUAAUCGGAAUUACUGGGCGUAAAGCGCAUGCAGGUGGUUUGUUAAGUCAGAUGUGAAAGCCCGGGGCUCAACCUCGGAAUAGCAUUUGAAACUGGCAGACUAGAGUACUGUAGAGGGGGGUAGAAUUUCAGGUGUAGCGGUGAAAUGCGUAGAGAUCUGAAGGAAUACCGGUGGCGAAGGCGGCCCCCUGGACAGAUACUGACACUCAGAUGCGAAAGCGUGGGGAGCAAACAGGAUUAGAUA
rnacentral:rRNA from 1 species